UUUUAUGUGUCGUUAUUUUGUGGAUUUGUGAAUUAAAUAAAUAUGGAUAAAACUACAACUAUCAGGUUAGUAUGAAUACUUCGAUUAAUAAUAAUAGUGAAAAUCAUGUUUCAAUCAUUAUUUUUCAGAUAAAAAAGCUGCCGUUUUCUUCUUCCGAAAGAGAACUGCUGAUUGUAGCUUAAUAAGAGAAAGGCCUAUUAUUGAAGACAAGCAUAAUUAUUAUUAUCCUCUCUAAAAUAUCGAGUUGACGAAGCAGGCCUGGGAAAGUAAGUGGCUUACAAUUCUGAACCAUAUUUUAUGUUUCACAAAGGCUCACACAUCAACUGAAAAGCUGCUGGAAUAAUUUAAAGACCCAAAGAAAGAAAGAACUUUCUCAGAAAUCAAUGAAACGUUCUCAACACCCACUAGUAUCAAGAAUUGAGAUUAGUAGUAGCAAGAAUGAAGAUACAAGAAUCAGACGCACCACAUUGAAUAAUAUACAACAAGACCAGGCUUUGCACGAGUUGGGGCUACAAAGAGAAAAAAUAUUGAUAGAAAGAGAAAAUAAUUUGUUAGAACAUGAAAAAAAGAUUUAUGAUUUACAAAUACAUAAAAUUAAAUUAGACAUUGAAGAUUGAUGAAAAUAAAACUUCAUUAAAAAUUUUAUGUUUUAUUUGCCACUAGCAACUGAUACAUUAUGUAGGUGGCACUGGAAGGCCUCCUCGCAGUUAAUUUCCUCAGGUCUUCUUUUAUCAGUGGUAAAAGUAUGAAAAGUACCCCAUCAUUGGAAAACCUAAACUAAAUUCGUCUGAAUUGUAAUAAUCAAAGGGAUUUUGGGAAUCCCGUAUCACUUUUCUGGUACUUAUUAUUCUACUUUGCUCAUUGAUAUAAUUAUCAAAUUCUUCUUCACUACUGUAAUCCAUUGUAAGAUAAUAUUAAUCGAAUACAACCAUAAAUAAAGCAAACAAACCUCAAAAACGAGAAUAACCUAAAAAUUUUGACAUAAAUAGACACUAUGCGUUGCGUAAUACAGCUCCCUGUGGGUCUAGUCAAAAUGCCAUCGCAAACCAAUGGGAAGUUUUCACUAAUGUCAGUCGCCGCGUCACCAGUGAUUCGAUUCGAUCGGAAAAUGGCAGCCAAAA